rfam:Beta vulgaris subsp. vulgaris Bvchr2_un.sca007.con0019.1, whole genome shotgun sequence.
AACCUAUUAGCUCAAAUGGUAGAGCAUUGUGCCAUGCACAAGAUGUGGGUUCGAUUCCCACAUAGGUUA